GAAAUGUUUCCACUUUAAACCGGAGCUGAAUGCGCCGCGGAGGCCUUCGCUGCUUGUUCCUGGGAAGUGCCCAGCUGGGGACGUGUGGCUGCCCUGGACAAGCCCGGAGCAGCAGGGAUGUGGCCGAGCAUCCCUGGUGUGGGGAAGGGCAGAGGUACCGGCCACCACCCUGAGCAAGCAGCACUGAAACCCCAGGGCCACCUUUCACAUGGCAACGCAGCUGGUUUUCAAAUGCCUUUUUCUUUUGGGUGCGUGCAUCGCCUUUUGUUUGGUAGAUGAAGGGAUGUCUGUGCGCCAAAUAAAGGGGUUCUUCAGUUUAAUUAAAAAAAAAAAAAAGGAGGGGGGGAAGGGAAAGUAGACAUGGUGCCUUUUAAGCAACAAUUCCAAGGGCAGAGGGGUUACCCAAGGCCACCCAUCGCCAGCUGAAAGCCUGUGUGAGCAGCGAGGAGCUGCAUUGAGGACAAAUCUGUGCUGCUGCUCAAUUACUUGGUGUAACAGCAACAUCUCCCCUCAGAGAGGAGGUGGAACGGGAAGAGCUGUGCUGGGGUCCAACCAUGGGUCCAAUGCACGAGGAACUGCAUCUGGGAGGUUGGCUGUUUCUUUGGGUCAAGGCUGCUGCCUGGAGCCCGCUCCACGGCCGCCCUCUGCACAGGCCCAGCUGCCAUCGGCCCCAGGACGGUUUCAACCCAAACAUUAAUGGGUGAGAGGAAGCCGUGACUCAGCCACCGAUGAAUCACUGCUGCUCCAGAUUGUGCCUCCCUCGUCUUACUGGUGCCCCUCAAGCUGAUUAAGCCUGGACGAAACAAACUCCUGUCACACUGUGGGAUGUUGGUCUGAGCCCAGCCCUGGGACCAGCUGGAAAUCAAAUCCUACCUCCAGCCCCUGUUUUCCAUCCAUCCUUCCCAAACUCCUUAUUUCACU
rnacentral:lncRNA from 1 species